ACGAACGCUGGCGGCGUGCUUAACACAUGCAAGUCGAACGGAAAGGCCCUGCUUUUGUGGGGUGCUCGAGUGGCGAACGGGUGAGUAACACGUGAGUAACCUGCCCUUGACUUUGGGAUAACUUCAGGAAACUGGGGCUAAUACCGGAUAGGAGCUCCUGCUGCAUGGUGGGGGUUGGAAAGUUUCGGCGGUUGGGGAUGGACUCGCGGCUUAUCAGCUUGUUGGUGGGGUAGUGGCUUACCAAGGCUUUGACGGGUAGCCGGCCUGAGAGGGUGACCGGCCACAUUGGGACUGAGAUACGGCCCAGACUCCUACGGGAGGCAGCAGUGGGGAAUAUUGCACAAUGGGCGGAAGCCUGAUGCAGCAACGCCGCGUGCGGGAUGACGGCCUUCGGGUUGUAAACCGCUUUCGCCUGUGACGAAGCGUGAGUGACGGUAAUGGGUAAAGAAGCACCGGCUAACUACGUGCCAGCAGCCGCGGUGAUACGUAGGGUGCGAGCGUUGUCCGGAUUUAUUGGGCGUAAAGGGCUCGUAGGUGGUUGAUCGCGUCGGAAGUGUAAUCUUGGGGCUUAACCCUGAGCGUGCUUUCGAUACGGGUUGACUUGAGGAAGGUAGGGGAGAAUGGAAUUCCUGGUGGAGCGGUGGAAUGCGCAGAUAUCAGGAGGAACACCAGUGGCGAAGGCGGUUCUCUGGGCCUUUCCUGACGCUGAGGGAGCGAAAGCGUGGGGAGCGAACAGGCUUAGAUACCCUGGUAGUCCACGCUGUAAACGGUGGGUACUAGGUGUGGGGUCCAUUCCACGGGUUCCGUGCCGUAGCUAACGCUUUAAGUACCCCGCCUGGGGAGUACGGCCGCAAGGCUAAAACUCAAAGGAAUUGACGGGGCCCCGCACAAGCGGCGGAGCAUGCGGAUUAAUUCGAUGCAACGCGUAGAACCUUACCUGGGUUUGACAUGGAUCGGGAGUGCUCAGAGAUGGGUGUGCCUCUUUUGGGGUCGGUUCACAGGUGGUGCAUGGCUGUCGUCAGCUCGUGUCGUGAGAUGUUGGGUUAAGUCCCGCAACGAGCGCAACCCUUGUUCACUGUUGCCAGCACGUUAUGGUGGGGACUCAGUGGAGACCGCCGGGGUCAACUCGGAGGAAGGUGGGGAUGACGUCAAGUCAUCAUGCCCCUUAUGUCCAGGGCUUCACGCAUGCUACAAUGGCUGGUACAGAGAGUGGCGAGCCUGUGAGGGUGAGCGAAUCUCGGAAAGCCGGUCUCAGUUCGGAUUGGGGUCUGCAACUCGACCUCAUGAAGUCGGAGUCGCUAGUAAUCGCAGAUCAGCAACGCUGCGGUGAAUACGUUCCCGGGGCUUGUACACACCGCCCGUCAAGUCAUGAAAGUUGGUAACACCCGAAGCCGGUGGCCUAACCGUUGUGGGGGAGCCGACGAAGGUGGGACUGGUGAUUAGGACUAA
rnacentral:rRNA from 1 species